GACAGAGGGUGCAAACGUUGUUCGGAAUUACUGGGCGUAAAGCGCGUGCAGGCGGCCCGGAAAGUCGGAUGUGAAAGCCCUGGGCUUAACCUAGGAAGUGCAUUCGAAACUGCUGGGCUUGAGUUCUGGAGAGGAAGGCGGAAUUCUCGGUGUAGAGGUGAAAUUCGUAGAUAUCGAGAGGAACACCGGUGGCGAAGGCGGCCUUCUGGACAGUGACGUGACGCUGAGACGCGAAAGCGUGGGGAGCAAAGCAGGGAGUUAAGAUAUCCCGGGUAGUCCCGGAGAA
rnacentral:rRNA from 1 species